GGGGGCGUGGUGAAAUUGGCAUACACAAGAGACUUAAAAUCUCUCGCUGCAAAGCUUGUGGGUUCGAGUCCCACCGCCCCUACCA
rnacentral:tRNA from 2 species